rnacentral:pre_miRNA from 1 species
AUUUUGGGAGGGAUAGAAGCUGGGGAAGAGGCAGAGCAUGAGAUGGAUCAAUCAACAAUGUAGAUUAUUGAUGUUGUUGCUCCUCCCAUGCACUGUCUCUUCCCUGGCAUCUCCUUCAUAGUUUCUC